AUUCCAUGAUGUGGCAUUUCCUUUGCAACACUUUAAAACGUACCCAUGCAUCAUUUAAAGAUUCUGUAUCCAGCUGAUGGAAGUUAUUAAUCUCUCCUCUUAUUCU